ACUCCUACGGGAGGCAGCAGUGGGGAAUUUUGGACAAUGGGCGCAAGCCUGAUCCAGCAAUGCCGCGUGAGUGAAGAAGGCCUUCGGGUUGUAAAGCUCUUUUGUCAGGGAAGAAACGGCUGUGGCUAAUAUCCACGGCUAAUGACGGUACCUGAAGAAUAAGCACCGGCUAACUACGUGCCAGCAGCCGCGGUAAUACGUAGGGUGCAAGCGUUAAUCGGAAUUACUGGGCGUAAAGCGUGCGCAGGCGGUUUUGUAAGUCUGACGUGAAAUCCCCGGGCUCAACCUGGGAAUUGCGUUGGAGACUGCAAGGCUAGAAUCUGGCAGAGGGGGUAGAAUUCACGUGUAGCAGUGAAAUGCGUAGAGAUGUGGAGGAACACCGAUGGCGAAGGCAGCCCCCGUGGGCUCGAAGAUUGACGCUCAUGCACGAAAGCGUGGGGAGCAAACAGGAUUAGAUACCCUGGUAGCGUCGUCU
rnacentral:rRNA from 1 species